rnacentral:rRNA from 1 species
GUCUACAUUAGGGAUAUAUGUAGUCUGGCCUGCUCACUGAGAUAUAAUAGACUUUAAGAGCCGCGGUAUUCUGACCGUGCAAAGGUAGCAUAAUCAUUAGUUUUUUAAUUGGAAACUUGUAUGAAUGGUUAGACAAAAGAAAUACUGUCUCUAUUUUUAAAACUUGAAUUUAACUUUUAAGUGAAAAGGCUUAAAUCUUUCAGGGGGACGAUAAGACCCUAUAAAGCUUUAUAAAUAACUAGAUAUUUUUUAGAAUAUAGAAUAAAAAAAAAUUCUUAGGGGUUUAUUAUGUUGGGGCGACACAGAUAUAAUUAAAAGCAACUAUCAGAAAAUAAAACAAUAAUUUUUGAAUUUUAUGAUCCUAAUUAAAGAUUACAAGACUAAGUUACUUUAGGGAUAACAGCGUUAUUCUUUUUGAGAGUUCUUAUCGAAAAAAGAGCUUGCGACCUCGAUGUUGAAUCAAAAAAUCUUUAUAAUGCAGCAGUUAUAAGAGAAGGUCUGUUCGACCUUUAAAAUUUUACG